AUACGGAGGGUGCAAGCGUUAAUCGGAAUUACUGGGCGUAAAGCGCGCGUAGGCGGCUUGAUAAGUCAGAUGUGAAAGCCCCGGGCUCAACCUGGGAAUUGCAUUUGAUACUGUCAAACUAGAGUAUGGUAGAGGGUAGUGGAAUUUCCGGUGUAGCGGUGAAAUGCGUAGAUAUCGGAAGGAACACCAGUGGCGAAGGCGGCUUCCUGGAUCAAGACUGACGCUGAGGUGCGAAAGCGUGGGGAGCAGACAGGAUUAGAAACCCCGGUAGUCC
rnacentral:rRNA from 1 species